rnacentral:rRNA from 1 species
GACGGAAGGUGCAAGCGUUACUCGGAAUCACUGGGCGUAAAGGGUGCGUAGGCGGCCGUGCAAGUCUGGCGUGAAAGCCCCGGGCUCAGCCCGGGAAGUGCGCUCGAAACUGCGCGGCUCGAGUGCCGGAGGGGAGAGUGGAAUUCCUGGUGUAGCGGUGAAAUGCGUAGAUAUCAGGAGGAAUACCGGUGGCGAAAGCGGCGUGCUGGACCUUUUCUGACGCUGAGGCGCGAAAGCUAGGGGAGCAAACGGG